rnacentral:rRNA from 1 species
UACGUAGGCAGCAAGCGUUGUUCGGAGUUACUGGGCGUAAAGGGUGUGUAGGCGGCUUCGUAAGUUCGGUGUGAAAUCUCCGCUUAACUGGGAGGGUGCGCCGAAAACUGCGAAGCUGGAGCGCAGGAGAGGAAAGCAGAAUUCCUGGUGUAGCGGUGAAAUGCGUAGAUAUCAGGAGGAAUACCGGUGGUGAAGGCGGCUUUCUGGACUGCUGCUGACGCUGAUACACGAAAGCGUGGGGGAGCAAACAGG